CGGUAACCUACCCUCGGGAGGGGGAUAACCCCGGGAAACUGGGGCUAAUUCCCCAUAGGCCUGAGGUACUGGAAGGUCCUCAGGCCGAAAGGGACUUAUGUCCGCCCGAGGAUGGGCCGGCGGCCGAUUAAGUAGUUGGUGGGGUAAUGGCCCACCAAGCCGAGGAUCGGUACGGGCUGUGAGAGCAGGAGCCCGGAGAUGGACACUGAGACACGGGUCCAGGCCCUACGGGGCGCAGCAGGCGCGAAACCUCCGCAAUGCGGGAAACCGCGACGGGGGGACCCCGAGUGCCGUGGCAACGCCACGGCUUUUCCGGAGUGUAAAAAGCUCCGGGAAUAAGGGCUGGGCAAGGCCGGUGGCAGCCGCCGCGGUAAUACCGGCGGCCCGAGUGGUGGCCGCUAUUAUUGGGCCUAAAGCGUCCGUAGCCGGGCCCGUAAGUCCCUGGCGAAAUCCCACGGCUCAACCGUGGGGCUUGCUGGGGAUACUGCGGGUCUUGGGACCGGGAGAGGCGGGGGGUACCCCUGGGGUAGGGGUGAAAUCCUAUAAUCCCAGGGGGACCGCCAGUGGCGAAGGCGCCCCGCUGGAACGGGUCCGACGGUGAGGGACGAAGGCCAGGGGAGCAAACCGGAUUAGAUACCCGGGUAGUCCUGGCUGUAAAGGAUGCGGGCUAGGUGUCGGGUGAGCCUCGAGCUCGCCCGGUGCCGUAGGGAAGCCGUUAAGCCCGCCGCCUGGGGAGUACGGCCGCAAGGCUGAAACUUAA
rnacentral:rRNA from 1 species